UCAUGUCCUUUCCCCAAUUCUUUUCUCUCACUGCAGCUUCACCUUAAUUGCCUCCUUAACCUAAUUCAUUCCUUCCAAUUAUCUCUUGCAUGUGUCUUCUGAUUACUCUCACCCAUAUAUUACAAAUCUCCAUCCUUUUCUCUAUUGGUAAGUAUUUUUGUGCUCAAAACUUUACUUUUUUUGUUUUCAAUUUUUAGUUUUAUUCUUAUACUUUUAGAUUCAUUUUUUAGUUCUUUUACUAAUUUAGAUGAACAAUAAUCUUUUAUUGUGUAUAAUAUUUGGGUAUCUCGGUAUAAUCUUUGUUUUAUACUCAAAGUUUUAAACUUUUAUAAUCUUAGAUUCUUGGGCCAAAAAUAAGUAAUUUUGUUUUGUUUAAUUUUUAGGUAUGCUUCGUUAGUUGGGGUUUUGGUUUAUACUAAUUUGUACUGUAAAUUUAUUGAUAUGUACUGUUUUGGACCUUUAUUUUUUUGUUUUUUUUUUUGUAAAAUCUACUAGGCAAUAUGCCUAGGGCUAGUUUUUUAUAUAUAAAGAAAAACACAAAUCCUGUGAAAUAGAAGGCAUAGACUUUGUAGAAUACAUAUGUCCUAUUAUUAAAAUUGAGUAGUGCACUCAAAUUUGAUAUCACAACGACUCUAAUACCCUUUUUAUAUGACACUCAUUAGCAGCCCAAUCCAUAUGUGUGUAUUUGUAGCCAAUGUUAUUUUCCCUUGUAGUUGUCGACAGUAGAACCCCAACUAUAUCCAAUUCUAAGCCUCCCCAAGCCCAACUGCUGGUCCAUUUAUGUAUUGCAUUUGUGUAGAUACUCCCCUUGUUACAUGUGUUGUUUUUAUUUGCUCGUCUUUAUUAUCAACAUAGGAAGUAACGACCUCCCAUCUUCUUACUUUGAGUCUUAGUGUUGUUCCAGUUUUUCCAUGGAGUUUGGUGGUCCGCCAUUGCAUCACACUGUUAUUCCACCUUCCCCGGAGCUCAGGUGUAUACCUGUAGUUGCUAUCUGCUGCAUGUGGAUGUAUUGUUGUCUUAAUGCCUGGAUAUAGUUCAGAUCGACUAUCAUUGUUGCAUUUCUUUCGCUGAUGAAAAGUGGAUUGCCAAGACCUAUAUAUGAUGGUACUACAUAGCUGAAUGCCUGCUUUGCCUCCUUUGUAUUGCAUGUUGAGGAUUUUGCCAACUGUGCUGCAUUACUGCCCAAAAUUCCUUGCACAAUCCUGUAAUUUCUGUAGCUCGGCCUGCUCAUGAUGCAGGCUGUCACUAUGAUGCGUAUGCUUAUAACAUUUCCUUCUUCUAGGGAAUGAGCACAUAAUGCUAAUAUCACCCAUAGAAGUUGUAAUGAGUGAUAAGGACCAAUGUUAUUAGCUUUUCUUGCAAAAAAGAAAGUAAUGUUAAAGUAAAAGAUGGUCUUCAUCACCUCUUCUUGUUGUAUUUUGCUUUUUUGUUUUGUUUCUUGUUUUUCAUGAGAAUAAUGAGUCCUCAAAUAUGCCUGGCUCCCUGUAUGUUGUGCAUUGUGUCCCUCCAUAUGUUGAUCUGUUUUUUUCCACAGGUGCAUCAUCCA
rnacentral:lncRNA from 1 species